rnacentral:lncRNA from 1 species
CCCUGUUAGGGACAGGAGGAGAACCUCACCCUAACUUGAGCAAAGUCGAAGGCCCGGUUCUUUUAGAUCGGAUGGGGGGAGAGGCCUUACAGCGCCCUAACGUGCCCCCACAGCCCUGUUAGGGACAGGAGGAGAACCUCGCCCUAACUUGAGCAAAGUUGAAGGCCCGGUUCUUUUAGACCGGAUGGGGGGAGAGGCCCUGCAACGCCCAUAUGCGCCCCCACAGCCCUGUUAGGGAUAGGAGGAGAACCUCGCCCUAAUUUGAGCAAAGCCAAAGGCCCGGUUCUUUUAGAUCGGAUGGGGGGAGAGGCCUUACAGCACCCUAACGUGCCCCCACAGCCAUGUCAGGAACAGGAGGAGGACCUCAUCCUGACAUGAGCAAAGUCAAAGGCCCGAUUCUUUUAGACCGGAUGGGGGGAG